rnacentral:lncRNA from 1 species
CGUCUUGAAAUCUUAAGCUCCCAAGUGCCCAUGGAAAUCACUUCUCAAAAUAUUUUUGCAUUCCAUAGAUGCCACUUGCUUCAACCCUAACCAGCAACAACCAUUCCAUUAAUAAAAAAAGAAAAUUAUUCAGAUUGUUAAACACAUAAUCCCAAACAAUUAAAUAAGUAAGGAGAGGCCAAAAUUAAUAACUUUCUCCUUAAGGUCACCCAAAAUUCACACUCAAAAUUUUUAUGCAAAAUGACACCAGAUAUUAAAAGAAAAAAAGGGCUACCAGAUCAAGCAUUAGAGAGUGGAGAAUGGAAUUGAAAUUGAAGAGUGGCGACGCGAAAAAUCAGUGGAGAGUGUGGAUCAGAGAGUGAUCAACACUAAUUAGAAAAAAAAAAAAAGUAUGGCCAAAUGUGGAGGAUGAGAAACGAGAGUUGAGAGAAGAAAAGAGUUGGAAUUGGAGAGGACGAAAAAUUAGGG